rnacentral:rRNA from 1 species
CCUACGGGUGGCAGCAGUGAGGAAUCUUGGUCAAUGGACGAGAGUCUGAACCAGCCACGUAGCGUGAAGGAUGACUGCCCUAUGGGUUGUAAACUUCUUUUAUAUGGGAAUACAAUGUUCCACGUGUGGGAUUUUGUAUGUACCAUAUGAAUAAGGAUCGGCUAACUCCGUGCCAGCAGCCGCGGUAAUACGGAGGAUCCGAGCGUUAUCCGGAUUUAUUGGGUUUAAAGGGAGCGUAGGUGGAUUGUUAAGUCAGUUGUGAAAGUUUGCGGCUCAACCGUAAAAUGGCAGUUGAAACUGGCAGUCUUGAGUACAGUAGAGGUGGGCGGAAUUCGUGGUGUAGCGGUGAAAUGCUUAGAUAUCACGAAGAACUCCGAUUGCGAAGGCAGUUCACUGGACUGCAACUGACACUGAGGCUCGAAAGUGUGGGUAUCAAACAGGAUUAGAUACCCGAGUAGUC